rnacentral:lncRNA from 1 species
GUUAUGCUCAAGUGAAGCAACUUAAAACUCCAGGCUGACUCCUUCUUUCAAGAAAGUAAGGAAUCUAUGUAACAAUAAAGCAUAAUCAUGACUUCCAUCUUCCAUCUCAGUGAGAGCUACUCUUGUCUUCACCUUGUUAAAAGGUUAAUUUCUUCCCAAUUGCAUAGAAAAAUAAAUGAUCACCAUGUAGGCAUUUAGAAAGUACCCAUGUUUUCCUAUGAUUGACCUAUACCUUCUAUCAAUUCUGUCUAAAUUACUCAAUUAAAAAUAAUUAUUAAGAAAAUAAGUGACUUCAUCAACAUGUUCCAAAAUAAAAUAUGGAUAAGAAGAAAAAAAAUCAGCUAAUCUGCACAAAAUUUGAUAUAAUUAUUGAAAAUGAUUUUCUUUACAAAUUAAUAAAUAGACUUGAUUAAUACUUUUUUAACUGAAGUUGAAGAGAUCUGGGAUACAUAUAGACACAGGCUUCUAUAGCAAUAAAAGCUAUUGAAUCAACAUUAGGAAACUUCUUUUCCUAAUAUGUCUUUUUAUGUUGCCAGUGUAAAGUGCUUACCUUAAAUAAAAGAUUUUGCCUAGUUUUUUUAAUACAAAUACUAGCAAAGAAGCACCCCCAAGGCUGAACCACUCAUUUCCACUUUAGUUAACAAAAUGAUGUAACUUGCUUUUAUUCUUAAUUUGGUAUUAUCAUUUAAACUACUUGUUACAUAUUAUCCUCAUUUUGCCUCUUUAUUCAGGAAAUAGUCCCAGUAACAACUCAUUAUCCUGGAUGGCUAUGGGUAUCAAUGCUGUUUUUGUUUGUUCUAGAAGGCAUCAAUUCAAUGUCACUAUUCGAAUUUCUUAUCCUAGAACCCACAGAUUGCUAGGAAAUCCGAAGGCUUCUAGAAUGACAUGCAAAUUUUCAUGUAUAUGUCCCCAUUGUGAUUUUUCUGGCAACAAUCCAUUCUUUCUUUGCUACCUAGCAUUAAUGCAGCCUCUUUCAGUUAAUAGUACCCUAUUUCCUUCUGGGAUACAAACCCAAUGCCUAGUCCAUGAAAAUUACAAAGGUGAUUCUGCUCUCUGC